rnacentral:misc_RNA from 1 species
GAUGAAGAACGCAGCGAAAUGCGAUAAGUAGUGUGAAUUGCAGAAUUCAGUGAAUCAUCGAAUCUUUGAACGCACAUUGCGCCCCUUGGUAUCCCGAGGGGCAUGCCUGUUCGAGCGUCAUUUCACCACUCAAGCCUGGCUUGGUGUUGGGCGACGUCCCCUUUGGGGACGCGCCUCGAAACGCUCGGCGGCGUGGCACCGGCUUUAAGCGUAGCAAAAUCUUUCGCUUUGGAAGUCGGGGCCCCGUCUGCCGGAAGACCUACUCGCAAGGUUGACCUCGGAUCAGGCAGGGAUACCCGCUGAACUUAAGCAUAUCAAUAAGCGGAGGA